rnacentral:lncRNA from 1 species
GCCUCAGUUUCCCCAUCGCUUGAGCCUGUGCAGUAACAGCCUCCACCUAGUAGGAUCGUUAUGGGGAUUAAACAAGUAAAGCACUAGAGCAAGAAGCAGCCCCGGCACGUGCUAGACGCCCACCCGGCAAUAAACCAAGAUUGCCCUGAUCGAUUUCUAUUCGUCGCCGCCGGCAUGAGGGUCACAACCAGGUCCAAGAGGAGGUCCAGCCUCAGAGCAUUGCCCUCGCCAUGACCUCUGCCAGGAAUGCCCUUCCUCCGCUUCCCACUGGGCCUGUCCUUCAGCAGGUCUUAUAGACUCAGCCUCCAGUGUGACCCUGAGCUCUUCCUGCACUCCCGCGGGCCCUGCCACCUCCUGCC